GAUGAACGCUAGCGGCAGGCCUAAUACAUGCAAGUCGGACGGGAUUUGGGAGCUUGCUCCCAAUGAGAGUGGCGCACGGGUGCGUAACACGUAUGUAACCUACCUUAAUCAGGGGGAUAGCCUCUCGAAAGAGAGAUUAACACCGCAUAACAUCCUGAGAUAGCAUUAUUUUAUGAUCAAAUAUUUAUAGGAUUAAGAUGGGCAUGCGGACAUUAGCUAGUUGGCGGGGUAACGGCCCACCAAGGCGACGAUGUCUAGGGGAUCUGAGAGGAUGGCCCCCCACACUGGUACUGAGACACGGACCAGACUCCUACGGGAGGCAGCAGUAAGGAAUAUUGGUCAAUGGGCGCAGGCCUGAACCAGCCAUGCCGCGUGCAGGAAGACGGCCCUACGGGUUGUAAACUGCUUUUGUACCGGAAUAAACCUUGAUAUGUAUAUCAAGCUGAAUGUACGGUAAGAAUAAGGAUCGGCUAACUCCGUGCCAGCCGCCGCAGUAAUAC
rnacentral:rRNA from 1 species